rnacentral:rRNA from 1 species
GAUGAACGCUAGCUACAGGCUUAACACAUGCAAGUCGAGGGGAAACGACAGUAAAGCUUGCUUUAUUGGGCGUCGACCGGCGCACGGGUGCGUAACGCGUAUCCAACCUGCCCCCAACUCCGGAAUAGUCCCCCGAAAGGGGGGUUAACGCCGGAUGCUGCAAUUUUUCCGCAUGGUGGAAUUGCGAAAUGAAAAAGGUUGGGGCUGGGGAUGCGUCCCAUUAGGUAGUAGGCGGGGUAACGGCCCACCUAGCCGACGAUGGGUAGGGGUUCUGAGAGGAAGGUCCCCCCACAUUGGAACUGAGACACGGUCCAAACUCCUACGGGAGGCAGCAGUGAGGAAUAUUGCACAAUGGGGGAAACCCUGAUGCAGCAACGCCGCGUGAGUGAUGACGGCCUCGGGUUGUAAAGCUCUGUCUUCAGGGACGAUAAUGACGGUACCUG